rfam:Nicotiana sylvestris Nsyl_contig99674, whole genome shotgun sequence.
GCUCUCGUAGCUCAAUUGGUUAGAGCACCCGUUUACUAAGCGAAGAUCUUGAUUUCGACUCUCAAUGAGAGCU